AAACGUUUGAAAUCAGUCAUGUGGGCGGGUAAUCAGCUUGGCCCUUGGGUCUUGUGCACUUUCCCGUCUCGCAGGUCAGCGUCGGUUUUGCUUUGCCGGAUAAAUGCCAAGGGAAUGUAGCUCCACCUUUCACGAGGAGGGGUGUUAUAGCCCUGGUAAAUACGGUGGUCGAGACCGAGGUCUGCAGUCGAUGCCUCUCGGGGCUGGGGACUCUAUCGCUUGUUCGCACCCGUGCCUAGACAGCUUGCUGACUAGGCGCGUGGUUGUGGGUGACACGGUGGCCUACCACACAUCGACUUAGGUCGCUGACAUAAUGGUUUUAAAUGA
rnacentral:rRNA from 1 species